UACGAAGGGGGCUAGCGUUGCUCGGAAUUACUGGGCGUAAAGGGUGCGUAGGCGGGUCUUUAAGUCAGAGGGGAAAUCCUGGAGCUCAACUCCAGAACUGCCUUUGAUACUGAGGAUCUUGAGUUCGGGAGAGGUGAGUGGAACUGCGAGUGUAGAGGUGAAAUUCGUAGAUAUUCGCAAGAACACCAGUGGCGAAGGCGGCCCACUGGCCCGAUACUGACGCUGAGGCACGAAAGCGUGGGGAGCAAACAGG
rnacentral:rRNA from 1 species